GCUGCAUAUCCUAACUUUCUCACACUCACAUACGUUAUCGUUUCUACUUCUUCAAUUAAACACAUUAACUGUUAAUCUUCCUCUAUCUAUACAUCUCACAGAUCUCCCAGUCUUUACUCAGACCCUCAAUAAUGGCUGGGUUUCCUAACCGCUUCAAACUUUUCACCUAUAUAUAUAGUUCAUGUCAUACACCAGGGCCGUGCAUCUCAAAUCAACUCACAUAUUUUUUAAACCCGCAUAGAUUUCAUCCAGUAGUCGAAAUGUCAUCCUCUGGUGCUUCUGUUGCUCAACCAGCCGUCCGACACUCAACAUUUGAACCUCUCCGCCUUGGCUGUAAAAAUGGAUGAAAAUAAUUCAGUGCUCCAGUGUCAUGGUGGUCACCGCUGUCAAUCAAAAAUAUUUUGAGCGGUGAUGGCGUCAUUUGGUUCAUGACAACCGGUCGACCAUUGUAACCUAAUUACAGCACGUAUUAGACUUAUAUGGUUGUAAAUUUGUAAUGGAUUAUUUCAAAACUAUUUUGUAAAAGCCUUUUGGGCUUAAGCAAUGAAUCAAAAGUUGACAAAAA